rnacentral:rRNA from 1 species
UACAGGGGGUGCAAACGUUGCUCGGAAUUAUUGGGCGUAAAGAGCGUGUAGGCGGCCCGACCAGUCCGCUGUGAAAGUCCAGGGCUCAACCCUGGAAUGCCGGUGGAUACUGUCGGGCUAGAGUCCGGAAUGGGCGAGUGGAAUUCCUGGUGUAGCGGUGAAAUGCGCAGAUAUCAGGAGGAACACCAAUGGCGAAGGCAGCUCGCUGGGACGUGACUGACGCUGAGACGCGAAAGCGUGGGGAGCAAACAGG